AUUGAACGCUGGCGGCAGGCCUAACACAUGCAGGUCGAACGGUAACAGGAAACAGCUUGCUGUUUCGCUGACGAGUGGCGGACGGGUGAGUAAUGUCUGGGAAACUGCCUGAUGGAGGGGGAUAACUACUGGAAACGGUAGCUAAUACCGCAUAACGUCGCAAGACCAAAGAGGGGGACCCUCGGGCCUCUUGCCAUCGGAUGUGCCCAGAUGGGAUUAGCUAGUAGGUGGGGUAACGGCUCACCUAGGCGACGAUCCCUAGCUGGUCUGAGAGGAUGACCAGCCACACUGGAACUGAGACACGGUCCAGACUCCUACGGGAGGCAGCAGUGGGGAAUAUUGCACAAUGGGCGCAAGCCUGAUGCAGCCAUGCCGCGUGUAUGAAGAAGGCCUUCGGGUUGUAAAGUACCUUCAGCGGGGAGGAAGGGAGUAAAGUUAAUACCUUUGCUCAUUGACGUUACCCGCAGAAGAAGCACCGGCUAACUCCGUGCCAGCCGCCGCGGUAA
rnacentral:rRNA from 1 species